CUUGCGCUUGUCUCAGAGCGCGGAUCUCCAAACACAUGAGAAGCCUAUCUUACGCACAUAUCACGUGGACUCCACACCUCCACCGCAUCUGAAGUCAUAACUCAUCAGGAGAAAUCGUGUCCGCAUUGGCAUGUUCAAAAAACAACCUCGCGUCAACAAUGAUACCACACGCAAGAAAAAAAAAACAGUCAGGCUACUCAACACAUCUGAUCCACAGCAGCACCAAAGCAUCACUGGAAAUCAUGUCAACAACCAAUCUUCCAUUUCAACAUGCGUCAACAAACAAAUGGCACCACAAACAUGAACGAAUUGGUCAGGCUACCGAUUCCAAACCCACAGCAGACGAAUAAUUAAAUGCAUCUUACCUUAAAGCAGAAUCGACCACAAAGGAAGUCUGUUGGCACACUUCCUUUCUACUAGUUUGUGUCCCCAACCUGGCAGCAGCAGUCGUUGUCAUAUCGGUUUAUUUUAUCUUUGAUGUAAACACAACACUUCGGAUAUGCAAAUGCUUCCCGUUACACACGAUUGCUAUGUCAAUAAACAUCAUUUUGCCAAUAUUUUAGAGACCAUCCAUCUUCUCCGUCGGUCAGCAUCUGUUGGGAUCCGAUAAAAUGAUAAAUCUUGCCUUGUGUGUUGAUGGUUACUACAUCCAGGUGCACAACAAUAUAAUGGCAUGAUGGAAGUCUUGCUGAAAGUAAAAACUUUCUUUGAUGGCUAUAUUCCUUUCGAUGCUUCGCCGUCAUUCCUCGUUGUUGGCUGUGGUAGACUACUGGUAGUUCAUGUCCAAAAUGGCGGCCGCGUUUGUCGUGACGUCACGUGGGAAGGGUCUAUUCCCCACAGCUAAACAAGACUCAGAGGCAGUAGUCAAAGCACUCCUGAGAGAUAUAAUUCCUAGGUGGGGUAUACCUAACAAAAUCUCAAGUGACAAUGGAACACCCUUUGUUAAUGCAGCCCUAAAGAAAUAGGAGCAUUCCUAGGGAUAGACCUGAAACAACAUUGUGCCUACCAUCCUGCCAGUGCGGGAGCAGUAGAGAGGAAAAAUGGGUCACUUAAAAAUAAACUAAGCAAAGCUUGUGCAGAAACAGGGCUAGGAUGGACAAAGGUCCUCCCCGUAGUGCUCACAGAAAUGAGGAUGCAAACUAGGCCUAAACAUGGGUUAAGCCCAUUUGAAAUUCUGUUUGGACAAGUACCCAACACAGGGAUAGGGCCAGCCCAAGGAACACUGCCGGACACCAGACUGUGUGAUGAAGCAAUGUUGAAUUACUGCGCAACAUUGUCCUCUGCUUUGAAAUCUAUCCACAAACAGGUAAAAGAAGCACUUCCCAAGCCCGCUGAGGGACCUCUGCACGAUCUACAACCAGGGGAUUGGAUAGUGGUGAAGGACUUCCGAUGAACCAAGUGGAACAAGCCACGGUGGAAUGGCCCAUUCCAGGUCCUGCUCGCAAUCCCAGUGGCAGUGAAGGUCACAGGCAGAGUGACGUGGAUCCACGCUAGCCACUGCAGGAGGGUUCCUGAACCGGCUGAGCAGAAGGAAAAGGAAGGCCUAAGUGACCCGGAUGCUGAGGCAGCUGACAAAUAUUGGUUACCAGAUGGUGAAAAUAGACCCAGACGACUUGCCUGACUGGCCUCCAAACCCACACGAAGACUACAACCCACUGUUUGACGACGUCAGCAUAGCUGAUAUGAAAUUAGCCCUAGCUUAAAACGCACUCAUUUGUGGUUGCUUUUCUGUUCUGUUGUUUCCUGAUCUAUGUAUAUAGCUUGCUAGCAUUAACUUAAGACAUCUAUGUCUUACAAAACAGCCUUAGCAUUAUCCCUGUACACACAAAGACAUGUUAAGUCGAAUCUCUCUGGGAACUCUUAUCACUGAAACUGUGUACAUUUCUUUUCUUUUAGCAAUUAUUAUCCUGUAGGAUAAAAAGGGGGGAAAUGUGAGGGAAAUUUAAUGGACAAACAUUAUUAUUCUCUGUGUUUCUGUAUGUUGAGCUAAAGUGGCUUAGUGUACUGAGAAGAGAUGUUUUCCACAUGCUGUAAUCGCCUUUCUGUGACCUUGGUGGUAAUAAGCAGGGUGCUUGAGUUCUUCCUAACUACGCAUCUUCUCAUGAUGUAACCACCUUUCCUGACCUUGGUGGUGAUAAGCAGGGAGCUUGAGUUCUCCCUAACUUGCAUCUGCCUGCACAUACCAAAGCAUGCCAGGUGCACUCAUUAGCAAAGCUUCAUAGAAAAUCUUGAGCCAAUCACGUGAAGACACAGGCAGUAAAGCGAAUUCCUUUAGAAUAUAUAGAUAACAGCCACUAAAACACAACUCCGAGUGCACAUACUCUCGGCAUCAUCAGAAGUGGUGUCGUCUUCUCUCUUCUUCCUCUUUCCAUUCCUAUUUUAUAUAUCUUUUAUAUGAUCUACUAUAAUAAAUAACUGAAAAGACAA